ACCAAAGUCAUAAUACCAGAUAGGCCACUGCCACUUCCCUCCAUUGUCUCUUAGAACUUGAAGGUAUGAAUUCAUUGCUGAAGAUAACACACACCUCUGGGACGCAGGACUUGAGGGAAGUCACCUGGAACUGACUGAAGGUCCCUCUGCAUGGAAGAGCUUCCAGAGUGAGGGAGAGCUCGUUUCCUCAUGGAUGCCCAAGCCUGCAUGCUCUCACUAAAUUACUGUUGGGCCACUGCUGAAGCUGCUGUAGACAUUCAAGUGAUCUGGAUGACAUCUUCUUUAGGGAAAAGGGAAAGCUAGUAUCUGCAGAGACAUUUGGACCUAUGGUGGGACUUCCUUGGAAAACGUGCAAGAUGUACAAAGGGUAUAACACUAAAUGUCUUAAGAAAGUUCUUAUUAAGCAAGUUGAUGAUCAUCCAAGAGAACUGCAUUCUCGUUUACUUUGUAUAAUGAAGAUGAUGCUGCAGAGUGUAUAAAUGCCUCCAUUCUGGCAAUGCUUUCCUAAGGAAACCUCUUUGGAUACAGCAUUAGUAAGCACCUGUAAUAGCACUGCAGCUAAAGCGAAAUGGGCAGAGACAGGACGAUCCGAGAUGCUCACAGGACUAGACAGCCCAGCAUAUGCAUCAGUGAACAGGAGGGUCUGUCUCCAACAAGGUUUGAAAGAAGAAUGAAGAUAGACUGUUGGAAGAAUGAACACUGUAACAUUUUGCAUUUUUUCAGAACGUGUACAAGAGGGUUUGAGUGUGGGAGUAUUGGCAGCAUUGAUGAAGGCUUUCUGAAAAUCAUUACCCAGAAUAAGAUGUUCCCAUUUGUACAUAAGACAGGCAUUCAACAGUACAGUAAUACUCUAAUAUGUGUGGUUCAUGAACAUAAAACUGAGAUGAAAUUCAAGGAUGAUGUCUUUUAUCUGGUAAGAAGACCGAUGGUCAGGCAUUGGUAUUUGUGGGUUCAUCAGAAUUUUAAGAGCCUCUAGGCUACAUUUCUAAGGAUUCAGGAGUCAGCAGCGGCAGACAAGGGUACUCUCAGGACUGGAAUGGGUAUGGCAAGUGGCUAGGGACACAACCUGCCACGUUCUAUCACCUACGUGUCAUUCUAUUCCAACAGAAACAUGGACUGCAGCCUUGGGGCCCUCAUAAAAAGUUUUCUGUAAUGGACACUGACAAAGGCUUGAAAACAAAUGUAAAAGCAGAGGAUACUCAUUGGGAUCUGACAAGUGACCUGUGCACCAGAGGUCACUGUGGGCCACUUAAACCGGGGAAGAGGCAGGGCAGAAGUGGGGGUAAGCUGGGGCACAGACAGGUUUACCCUCUGCCCUGAGGCUGCGUUUCAAGGUUCCAUAGUUAUGCAAUCUUUUGAAAUCAGCCCAAAUGAACAAAAUGAUCUUCAGCAUUUACUGUGGAAAUGAAAAUGCAUUGGCUCUGCUGUGACUAUUAACCUGAGUCAGGUAAUAUUGAGAAGUGAUAUAUAGAGUCUGCUGGAGCAGAUAGGUAGGACUGUGUCUAAGGCCAAGCGCCUGGCAGCUGGCUGCAGAAGGCAAAGUUCUCUUCUAGUGAAAGUGGUUUGCUGAGACCAGAGUACAAUUCUGAGACUCUAGAUGGGAAAACUAUGAUUUGCUCAUGAAUAUUUUAACUCUAACAGAUCUCCAGGUAAACAAACUACUGUGCUAGAAUAACUGGACCUAUAAAAUGAAUGUGAUUACUCCCUUUUAGGGAGGCAUGCAGUGUUGACUUUCACAGCUAGCUAGAAUUUUAUAUAGUAAAAACUAAUUAAGGUAAGGAAUUGUUAAUCAGUGCAAUAUUAUCAUUUGAUCAGUCUACCACCUUGACUAAAUAAGAAACUAAAGAAAAUUAGAAAUCUUAUUUAGGAGCUCCGUUAUUAUUCUUAGUAAAAAAAAAAAAAGUGGAGUGAUAUAUCUUUUGAUUGAAGCACAAAACUAUCAUAGAUUUAUAGGACUAUCAGUUCAAGUCCAGAAUCUUCUGUGGAAAUUCUUGAGUGAAUACAAAUGACGGUUCUGUUGAGUUUUAGAUGCUUUCAUUUUAAACAUUAGGACCCGUAUUGGUUCAAUCACAUUUAGAAGACAAGGGCUUCUGAUAUCUAUUGAUUUAUUCCUUCUUUCCCCUGUGUGAAAGAUUACUCUCACUAAUUUUGCCUUCAACCCAUUUCUCCAUGACAUAAUUUGUAAAUAAUGGUUUUAAGCACACCCUUUCCGCUUAUUACCUUAAAGUGGUUCCUGGUAGGAGCUGGAGUGAUCGCUCAGUGGUAAGAGUGCUUGCACACAACUAUGCAAGCUUGUUUUGAGUCCCCAGGACCCAUGCAAAUUGUUCAGCAUGUGACCCUACCCAUCAAGGGGUAGAGGCAAGGGCAUCCAGAAGGGUGAGCUUGCUGGCCAGGCAACCCAGCAGGAAUGGCAAGCUUCCUGUUCAGAAAGACUUUGUCAAGGCAAUAAGGCAGAAGAUGAAAGAGGAAGAGACUUAAAGUUCUCUGAUUUCUGCAUGCACACAUAGGGGCAUAUUUGCCUACACAUUCAUGUGCAUGCAUGCAACACACACACACACACACACACAAGCACAAACAUACACAAAUGUUUUUGAGAGGUAUUUUCUCUUACAUACACUGACAUCUUAGAAAAAUCUGAAAAAAUAUUGAAUAAUUUGUUUUAGUGUCCUAAAUAAUUGUAUCAUGUUUUAAUUAACAUGCUAUACUGUGCCUUCCAUUAGUUAGGGUUCAUUUAGCUUUUAGAGGGACUUAUAAUAAAUAUUGGCCUCUAGGCUUGCUCAAAGUAUUGUUUCCUAAGUAGCAAACGUAAGAUGGCCUGAUUCUAGAAUUUUCUGUCUUUUUUUUUUUUUUUUUCAUUUGGUUUCUAUUGAAAACAGCAACAUGUAAGUAUGUUGCUACCCUUUAUUGGGCUGCUGGCAGUAAAUACCACACAAAGUGUUAACAUUCCUGCAAUGUGUUGAUUAGGAGGGGGAGGUGGGUAACUCCCACCCUUCAUGCUGAACAUAAGGCCUGGUUCCAUCCCAGGAUCAAUGCUGUUACGGGAUACCUGACUAGCAUUCAGACAUCCCUGUUUUACAAAUGGCUCCCCAUUGGCUAUUGAUGAUCGGCUAUGUUGGGAUCACUGUGUAAGUGCCUAAACACCACUUUAGGAAAGAGUAAACUCAUCACUUCACAUUAUGUGGAUUGAUGGGUUCACACGUUCCCAAAUAGCUGCAGAUGUUCAGAGGGAGAAUUCAAAGGGGGUUCAUUUCAGGAGGUAUAUUUCUGUAAUUGUGUUUAAAGGAGGGUAGCCCAGAUCAGAAUGAGGUUGUCUGCCCGGCAAUAAUUAGACCCUCUACCUUUGAGAACUACCUAAUGGUUCCAGUUCUACACACUGGGUAUGUCUCUCUGAUGCUGCUCUCUAAAGUUGGGCUAGAAUGCUGUUUAAAUUCUAUAUUAAUGAAAGUGUCCAAAGAGAAUGAUAUUCAUAUAUAAGAAUUCCACAUGUAGAGGACGUAGGACAAAUUCUUACUUUAGAAGGGACAUUUCAAGAUAACUGGUAAAAAGCCCCUGUAAGAUAUUUCAAAACUUCAAGUUAUAGAUGGAGAAAGCCCUUUAUUUUCAGAAACCAAAGGGGUUGUGGGGUUGUAUUCAGCAGUGAAUGAUAACUUCAGCGAUCAAAAGCACGGACCUGGCCAGUGAGGAUGGGUCUGAUUUAUGUCAAAGUUAAGUUUGGGAAAGACAUAGUUUCUCUCAGGAAAGACAAAUAUUUUAAAGGUAUGUGAUUCAUACAGUAAAUAUUAGUGUUCUGCUGAGCUACAAAAUGGCUUCCAAAUGGGCCACAGCUGUUUGAAAUAAAGUACAAAGUUGGCCAGAAGAGGAUUUAAAAAUCAUAAUAUAUCAUUUAUCAUUUCCUCAGCUCAUCUAAACACUUUUGAAUUCAUCCUUCCUUAACAUAGUUAUAUGCUGUGGUUUGUUAUUCCAAGAAAGCCACCAUUUCCUAUCUAAGCAUAGCAUCUCGUUGGUUAAACUAAAACCUGUAUAAUAGCUAACCCAAAACACACUUAGACAUCAGAUAGCCUUUCUGGAGGAAGCAAAUCCUGCUCAUGUGACCCUGUGAUUCACUGAAUGAUCUAAAUAUCACUGAGUGCAUGCGUUUUUAUAGGCUGAUAAUCCCUAAUUAAAAUCAGCACUUCAACGUCAGUGACUAUGACACACUUAACCAGAAUAAAAAUGCAAUGUAAUCUGUCAGUUCACUCUUGCAUUCUUCUUCCCCAAACAAUCUAUCCAGCUCACAGAGGAAAGCAACAGCUUAAAAAUACUUGAUAAUUCCCGCGUCCUUUCUUCUCUCUAGCUCUGGGUUGUAAUCUCUAGUCAGUUUACUUCAACAGUUGUUAGAGUCAUAAGAAGAAAAGGUGCAAAAUUCUUCUUAUUCAGAAUUCUAUUCAAACCUUAUUUAAAAGCUGACAAGGUGCUUUCUCUUUUGGUUAAACACAAAUGUGUUUUUUUUUUUCCACCACCAUUUCUUAUUUAUGGAAAAUGCUUAGCCAUAGAAUUAUGUAUGAAGAAGAAUAACUUCAUCACAAUUCUGGAGAUACCUCUAUAGCAACUUCAUCUAUAUAUAAUGAUAUAGUGAUAUAUAACAUCACUUUCAGGGAUGACGCCCUUUAGAUCAGUCAGAGAAAGUGUGUCAGUAUUUUGCAUGCACCUUGGUCCUUAAACAUGGCUACCUAUCUAUUUUGUGUAACUUGCUCAGCAUCUUUAUAAGGACACUCUAACUGGAAAAACUUCAUAAGGUUGUAUUUCGAGGACUGAAAACAUUAAAUGAUAUGACAGAAAUCUUGCUAUCGAUUCCUUUUGAAGAUUGUUUGAUACACCUGAAGGGUUUUGGCCAUGUUGAUGCCAUCUGUUCCUGGCUACUAGGGACCAGAAAUGGGCCGCUUGGCUUUAGAAAUGGUUGCAGAAUAUUUCAACUGAUUUAUUAAAUGAAGAGGACUCACUAAGCACUAUGUUGUUAAUUAAUUAUUCUUAACUAACAGGCUGACUCCUAUGCGCCUAAAGUAGCAUGGCACAUGAAGGGUACGGACACCAAGUAGCAACAAAGUCAUGCUUUGGCUGCAUGCCUCUUGUCAUUGUCAUCAUCAGGCUCUUCCUUUUGUAGCUCCUCCAAAAAGAAUGUUGCCUUGCUAUUAUCCCUCCUGUUUCACAGAACAGGAAAUACAGACACAAUAAACAAUACUCUAUGGCAGAAUUAGAAAUGAAUCAAAGCAAUAUGGUAUCAAAGAUUCAUUUGUGUUUGCUCAUGGCUCCCCCUAGAUAUGAAAAUGCCUUCAGAUGUGCCUUGAAAUUUGUAACUGUAAGGUCUGGUCUAUUUCUCAUGAUAGAAGUCCAGCAUUCAGAGCAGUGUCUAAUACAUAGUAGGUGCUCAGGAAACACAGACAUCAGCAAAUGAUAGGACAGUAUUCUGAUAAAUGUGCUGGCAGGUGGUACUGUUAUGGUGUUGACAUAGCAGUGUGCUUACACAAAACAGUAGCUGCAAUGGCAUUGGGCUGUAUAAUCGCACAAAUUACAUCUUCUAAAUUAAAACACACAUCAAUGGAAACAGAGAAUUUGAUAGAUAUGCAACUUGUCCCAAACAUAUGUACAAAUGAAGAGUUGUAACAGACUUGAAGGAAUGAAUAUCAACUGGAGUUAUCUUCUCAUCCAAGUUAUGGAAACAUUUAAAUGGAUUAUUAACUCUUACUGUAUAUAAAUUAUAAAUAUUCAAAUACCUGAAUUACACAUGUUUAUAUUCAUAGUUCCAUAAAACAUGUAUUGAUACACACACACACACACACACAUAACCUGGCUUUAGAAGUAAAAUGUGCUUAACAUUUCAAGUUAUAAUCUAAUUGCCCAUUUGUAAAUUUCUGUGAAUAUAAAUUUUGCUUACAUGCUUUGGUCUUUAUUAUUUUUUUGCUAAUUAAAUUUUUCUUUAUAUAUUAUUUGAAUAUUGUGAUUUUUGAGAAUAAUUACUUUUUAUCGUAUUUUCUGUUUCUGAGUGUACAUAUAUGGGUACCAUGUAUUUCCAUCAUACCUAUCCUCCCAUACCUUCUUCAUCUUCUCCUAUGUCCUUCCGGGCACCUCCCUAACAAAUUCAUACCCUCUUCCUCUAUAAGUGUGUGUGUGUGUGUGUGUGUGUGUGUGUGUGUGUGUGUGUGUCAAUGCUGCCUUGUGUACUUGGGUAUAGUGCUGAGAUUUCUGCAUGAACCUAUUGCUUUACCUAUCCAAUAACCUAUCCAAUAUGCUUCAGCUUUUAGAGAGUAGGAAACACACCAUGUUUAUAUGUAAAUUCUUAAGAAAAACUUACACCCGUUCAAAUGCUAUACUAUGGCAGGGUUGUCGUUAACCUUAGGUAUGGUUGACAUAAAAUUCAAAUUUUGUCUUAAGAUAAGGAGCAAAGUCCCCAGUAGCAUUUGUGUAGUGGGUGUCUGAGCAGUAACGAGGAGGAAAUGAUUGGAUUCCAUGGGCUCCGAGGAUUUGUCAGCCGCUUCCUAAGUAUAAUUCUGGCUCUUCGUAUCCCUGCUGCUUCUAAUUUAGCAGGACAGGCUCAUAAUUGAAGCAAAUUAACUAUUUACAGUUGCCCCUUCUACCAGGGAAGAAGAAACAGCAGCAGGAAGAAGGAGGAAAUGACACUCUUCCCACUUGUCAGAUCUGCCCUUAUAUAAACACAUUAACAGUAAUUUCAUGAGGCGUCAAACAUAGGAAUAAAUACUGAGAGAUAAAAUAAUGAGGUGCUGCUAUUGAGCUGAACUGCUGGGGCUAAUAUCCUUGGAUAUGAAUUAUGCAUCCCGAAAGAAGGCAUAUGCUACAGUAUUCAAACGCGUUCCCGGCAAGUGAUGUUUGCUCAUUAGGCUGUGCAUCUCGAGGUAAAUCCACUGUCUUCUUCCACGACAGGACUAGCAUUUACAAAAAUACACUCUCCAGGCACCCGUGGGCUGCGGUUUCCCCAAAUCCAAAUACACCAAACCCGAAUAGGCUUUCCACUCCAUUUUUAGCAUAACAGCAUGUUUAUUUAGCUCUUGGCUGCAGCUUUAAAGCCAUUUAACGUAAUGUAAACAAGAACAUUUUGUUUGUAAUUUGCUAAAUGUCUUACAGCCCGACUGUGUCUCCAAUUAGGAACUUAAGGUUCAUUUAGUAAUUUACAUCUGGUUCUGAUUUAAGGUGACUUUCCAUGACUAAAAGGGACUGAAGAACCCUUUACAGCUCUCUGGGUCAACCUGUUCUGUUGGAAGCUGACCAAUCCUUUCAUUUUAUAGAGUUGGAAUUGUCUUAUAUCGUCAUCAUGAGCUCAGGCCCUAUACCAUAGUGAUAAGAACCAGAGAGCUUCUCAAAGUCAUGAAGGGAGAUGAAAAAUGUAGAUGGAACCUUGUAAAAAAGGUGAGGGCUGCUGCAGUAAGGCGACACGAUGCAAGGUGAUAGGACUGUUAACUUCUUUUUCUUCCUCUGCAGCCUCUAGUCAGGGAGAGAAAAGUAGCAAACCCCAUAAUCACAGCAAUGCUUGUGUUUUAUCCCCCUUCUCCAUCUGGUGUCUUUUAAGCCACUUGGUAUGCUUCUGAAAUGGGUUCUUCAUUGUUGUAAGAGUCAUUAGCAUUUAAAACCCCCGGUUGGAAUCCGAAGCACUGUUUUCUCGGCAUUCCAGAUUCGGCAUUGUCUCCCCAAGUACUAAAAUGGAGCCUUCUCUGAGCUGUGGAGAGUGCUCAGCAUCUUUGGAGGGAAGGGUUCAUGGCGAAGGUUGUUUUCCUUGACCACAGUUGUUGCUCCUCUUGCCUUCCGUUCAAUUUCUCUUCAUUGGCAGAGUAUUUGCAGGACCAAAGAACACACAGCAUCUCAUUCACCAUGGAUUCUAAAGUUUAAACAUCUGUUCUCCGUGCUGCCUUCCCAUCCCUGCCUCAACUCCACACUGAGCAGGCACGGCAUGGAAACACAGUGUUCUAUUAGGUGUGUUCCUUCUGGUUGGCAGAAAGCUCUUUAUUUGUAAUCUCGAUAAUGAUGUUUUCCUUUAAAUAGUGUAAUUUUCCAAGUUCCUAAUAAGUCAUUGAUAACUCUAUCCAUCUCCCUCUGUGUGUUUUUAUAUUGGUAGCUGCUCACAAUUGUGGGCUAUUAUGACAACAGGGUUUUCAAACAACUACAGCACACGAAAUCUCGACCUCCUACCCUAACUGCCUACAUAAUCUAAAACAAUCAUGUGGACUUGUCUAAACUAAUUUAGGAGUGUUCCUUUAAAAGCACAGAGCAGUAAGUAGGCUCCCCAAGUUGGAAUCUUAAGUGAGAGUUGAGUGCAAUUACUUUAACGUUGAAGCAGAUAUUAUAGUGAGUUGGCACAGCGAGUCAACAUUAAGACAGGCUGAACAGGUGGUGAUGCAGCAGAUAGAACAUUCUGGAAUCAUUUCACGAUGGAGUGUGGAAGCUCCAGAGUGCCUUUUGGGCAGGCACGUUUGCCACACUGGCAUCUCCUGCAAACAUUCAGUGAUAGGCUGCCACAGAGCAGCAGAGCAGCGGCCAGGCCACAGGAUGCCCAGAUGGGUGUCGGCCGUAUGUGUGUUGUAGUGCAGCAUCAUAAUCCAGUUGUUGGAGAGUAACGUACAGUCUCUGUCUUUAUUAAACAAGAGCAUCUUUAAAGGAAAAGAAUCAGCUCUCCUGGAUUCCUGCUACCACAGGGAACAUCAGGUUCAGUAUCUCAGAAGAACCUAAAUUGCUCACAACACCUUGUUUGGGUGACUCUCAAAAAAGUACUCAAAUUUUAAAAUACUUACUUCCUUCAAGAAAUAUAAUAUGAUAACAUUUUCUUAGAAAGUCUCGACUUAAAUAUUAUUAUUCAGUAGAUUUGAUUCUUGGACAUGAAUCAUAUUGUCAACUAGUGUAUAAUUGUAUCCUUUAUUUAUCAAUGAAUUUUCUUUCAACACCUCAACUACUUCUGCAAAGGACAGAUCCUGGGCUGUAAAAAGUCUUUAUAGACUUCUCUCUUAAAAACCCUGGUUUUGAAUAUAGGAGAGUCUUAGGACAACUGGGACCUCAGAGGCAUGUAAGAAAAGUCGACUAAGUGUUAGGUAGAGAAAGUGAUGCUUUUGAAAAAAGCAGAAGACAAGGUGGGACAAAGGGCAAACAUGUAUAUCUUCUAUGAGCAAGGGUUGCUGUGCACUAACCUGAUGUUAAGGCACUCUCUGGAACUUCCUCUGGGAAAUUUAUUCUCAGAGAAGAGAAGGACAGGGUAUGAUGCUUAGAACAUUUCCAAGAGUACGUGGAAGAUUAGCAGAACAGCAGAAUAGCCAGGCACGGACAUGACAUUGUUCAGAGAAUACGGCCAAGGGCUGGUCUUUCUCAUCCAUGCGUGCUUUGGCCAUCAUUCAGCAAUUGGAUGGGGGAGGGGCAGAUAACUGGAGGGAAAGAUACCUGUAGAGUUCCACCCUCAAUUGGAAACUUCAUUUAAGAUCUGAGAGUAUAGAAAAUAAUUGAUCUGAAUUAGGGACCAGCUUGAAACUGUCUCCAAAAUCCUGACAUGAUCACAUUAGGUUUCACUUACAGUGCAGCAUUGCCUGGUCUAUUAGCAAUCACAUGGCUAUGUUAACUGACUGUACAGAGAGUAGAGUGCUAUGAAUACAGACGUGUGACACCCGGGCUGGCUUUAUAGGAGCUCACUUCCUUAUGUGUUUAAACUCAGGUCUUCACAUUUGUACAACAAGCACCUUACCUUUGUUUUAAAAUACAUUUCCCUGGACAUGAUGAAGAGUCAAAUGUUAUCUUAACAUAUGAUUAGUAGUGCAACAACUCUUUUUGCAAUAGCUGGGUGUAUGUUGUUAUUUUGACAAUUUAUUUUAGUUAUCAUGAUUAUUAAUGUUUGUGGCAAUAAUACUAUAUCGUGACAAUGACUAUCUACCCUCUAGUUUAGACAUAGAAUUAAUAUUUCUUCUUCAUGUAGGUGAGCUCUCAGUGUGUGUGUGUGUGUGUGUGUGUGUGUGUGUGUGUGUGUGUGUGCUCGCGCACCCUCGGUAAGAUUUCCUUGAUGACUGCUGGUACUGCUGGCAUGCCUCACACACCGAUCCCUAAGCAUGGCGCCCAGUCACACCCUGGCCAUCCAUAAGAAAAGAAAGCAAAAGCAUCUGUCUGGUCCCACUUAACACAGCCGGGAAUAUGAGCUAGAUAUAUGUGAGGGUUAAAUAACAGACCCUUGUGAUCUGUAGGGAAGGGACAAGGAUAACAACAAACUUGAGGUUCAUUUGCACCAAAGAGUUUGAUGACAGGAUAGUAAAUAGCAAGCACCGAAGGGAGGUAUAGAUAGUUUCCAAAGGGAAAACUUUUAGUCUAUGCUCAUAUGGGCAACAUUAAGAAGUGAUGUAAUCCUGGCUGGGCUAUGUGGAAGUCCUUCCAAAAGCUGCUACACUGUAGAAACUUUGAAACGAGGGAAAAUAACAUGUUACUUAGGGAAGAGUAUAAAGAGAGUACAAGAUUAAAUGGCACUCUCUCUCUCUUUUUUUUUUUUUUUUUGGAGACAGGGUUUCUCUGUGUAGCCCUGGCUGUCCUGGAACUCACUUUGUAGACCAGGCUGGCCUCGAACUCAGAAGUCUGCCUGCCUCUGUCUCCCAAGUGCUGGGAUUAAAGGCGUGAGCCACCACUGCCCGGCUAAAUGGCACUCUCUUAAAGUAUGGUUCAGAUGGGGCACUUUCGAAGUCAUAGUUAUAGUGUCUGACCAAUUUCCCUGAGGUUCAUAGAAGCUAUCUCUGAAGCCCACACACACUGUCUGCCAUCAAGCUAAUUCCAGUGAUGUUAAACCCUCUUACC